AAACAUUAAUCGCUCACUACAGUUGAUGAAGGUUGGAGAGGAGAAAUCGAAGUGAGGCGAGUCGCCGGAGAAGAAGAAAAAGUUGAUGUCAUAAUCUUCAUCCCGAGUUUUUUAGAUCUGGAAUUUCAGAUCUUAGUGUCAUGACGGAGCAGGCAUGCUCGAAGUGGCCGGAAGUGAGUUUGAGGAGUAAGCCUCGGCAUGAACAGAUG
rnacentral:lncRNA from 1 species